UCCCUGGACUAGUGGUUAUGCCACAGUGCUCUCACCGCUGCCGAUUCGGGUUCGAUUCCCGGCCAGGGAA